rnacentral:rRNA from 1 species
AUUGAACGCUGGCGGCAUGCUUUACACAUGCAAGUCGAACGGUAACAGGCCGCAAGGUGCUGACGAGUGGCGAACGGGUGAGUAAUGCAUCGGAACGUGCCCAGUCGUGGGGGAUAACGCAGCGAAAGCUGUGCUAAUACCGCAUACGAUCUAUGGAUGAAAGCGGGGGACCGUAAGGCCUCGCGAGAUUGGAGCGGCCGAUGUCAGAUUAGGUAGUUGGUGGGGUAAAGGCCUACCAAGCCGACGAUCUGUAGCUGGUCUGAGAGGACGACCAGCUACACUGGGACUGAGACACGGCCCAGACUCCUACGGGAGGCAGCAGUGGGGAAUUUUGGACAAUGGGCGCAAGCCUGAUCCAGCAAUGCCGCGUGCAGGAAGAAGGCCUUCGGGUUGUAAACUGCUUUUGUACGGAACGAAACGGUCUGGGUUAAUACCCUGGGCUAAUGACGGUACCGUAAGAAUAAGCACCGGCUAACUACGUGCCAGCCGCCGCUGUAACAC